GAAUCUUGAUGAUGCUGCAUCAGCCAUAAAUGACUGUAUACACACACCUGAAAUAGUUGGAUCUAAGAUUUUCUGAUUCGAAACAAGGUGUAAUUCCAGUUGGAUAUGACUUAGAGAGACCUAAAAGGGCAUUACGGUGUCUGUGGUCUACACAGGUACCAGUCCCUGGAUCUGAAGAAGAAUCUUAAGCCAAGUCAUGUGGGGGCAAUUAGAGACAAAAGCUGUUGUGUCAAUUGACAAGUGAAGAAAAGAGUAGCAAAUCAUUCUUUCUUGUUAAGGUCCACGAGUACACAGAGUAGGGAAAGAAACAACAGUAUGGUGACCUAUGCGAUCAUAGCAAAUCAACUUGGUAAAAAUGCAUUUGAACAUAAUGCAAUUUUGGAUGUGCAUGUCA